GGAGAAAGAAAAAUAUUGGAGGGAAUUUAAGGUUGAUUUAUUUGAUUAUUUCCAUAGCUGCUCCAUUGGAAGCCCGCGCUCUGCAGCAACAUCCUUGAACUGCCUCAUCAUUUGGGUCGCCUUGAUGGUAGCUCUUGCAUUGUUGAGGGGGUUCUUGCUCCUCAGCUGUUUCCCCAGAGCAUUUUCAACCCCAGCCAUCUCCAGCACGACCCUCACAGCUCCACCUGCAAUUACACCAGAUCCAGGGCAAGCAGGCCUCAACAUGACCCUGGCUGCUCCAUAGUCUGCAUCUGCUCUG
rnacentral:sRNA from 1 species